UAGAAUGCAAGCGUUACUCACUUUAUGUACCGUUACCAUUUGCACAUGACUAAAUGUGAUACAAAUACUAGUCCUAGAAAGGCUAGUACACAUAUUUAUUCAACAGAUAGUUCAAAAGCCGCACAACUCUUUAGGAAACGGUCGGGUAACAUAGACCUAAAAGAGAUACAACACAAAUAGGCUGUAGAUGCAACCUAUGGACAUCCAAGUCCAUAAGCAGCAAGCAGCACCGCACGAUAGUGGAAGAAUCCUUAAUAGAUCAACGUCACAGGCAAGUUGGGUGUGGAGAGCUUCACCAGCAAUGUAGUCUGGGUCUUCCUCUGUAUCAACAAAGCAAGGGUGAGUACAUACGUACUUAGCAAAUCCAACCCCACCCUAUGGAAGGGGUAUAAGAAUACAUGCAUAAGGAUACUUAAGAAAUAGGUCGAGGUUAUUUUGCAGAAAGCAAUAUUUUAUACACAGACAAGGUUUGGUUUCAUAAAGCGAUUUUUGCAAGACACGUACUUUUCAUAUUACAAUAUUUAUGAAAGAGUGGGGUGAUCCUACACAAAGGAUCCAAAUUUUAAGUGCUACUGGACACCCGUCCACAGUAGCACGCAUCACACUUGCUGGAUAUUUCCAAAAUCCAAUUUACACCAAAAGGUUUGCCCAUCUUUCCCAAAUAUCUAGUUAUGUGACCAAGCUAUAACUUGUCCAAGACUAUGGACAUGGCUAUUCGAAUAGGUUUUAACUCUGCAGAGGUAUACACGUUACCCACAAGUAGGGUACCGCAACACGAUCACUGUAGUGCCGGUGCAGAUCCAUCAAAGCUAUUACCCACCAUAGCAUAGUCCUGCCUAGUCGCCCACAAACUAACCAAGGGGUCCUUGACCUUCCUACGAGGUCUUCAACCGGGCCACUAAUCCAAUACUUGCUUACGCCUGCUCCUUGGCCCCCCAUUGCGCACCUGCUAGUGGGAUUUAUGCUAAGCCUUUGCCACACACAAAGGUCGAGUGGUUGUACAAUAAGUUAGGUUAGGCAAGAUAACACAUCAACUUGGUCCUUAAUCAAGACAAGACAGAUAUCUUCCAUACUCAGUCACACAGGCACGAGCCAAUACUCCAAGGCGUCCUACACAAGGAACCCUAAUCCGCCCCAUCUAAAUAAUCACCAACACCAGUUGUUUAUUAUAAAAUCUCAAUCCAUACUCACACCAACACACUCAACAUAUUUUGUCUUUUGUAAAACCAUUGCAUUUGUAAAACGAGUAGUAAUGAUGUUGACUAAGCCUGUUAAUAUCAAGGUUAUCGGCUAAACAGAGUGUAUCAUGUCUAGCGAUAAAUCCUAUGUCAUUGAGGUAUAAUCAAGAUAUAUCAAUUCAAGGAGUGGCUAUCCAAAUGGGUUUUAACUAAAUCAAGUAGUAAAAUAAUCAUAUAUAUAACUGGAUGCAAUUUAUAAAAAGGCUUCUACAGGUUGUGUUUGAAGACUGAGAUAAAUAUGACCAAAAGGGAAUAGGUUGGACUUGCCAUCUUCAAAGCCUUAUGGAAGCUCCUGCUCGCGGUACGGGUCUUCUGGCUCUGGUUUGCAGUCUUGGCCUUCGUAUUCUAGCUCACGGUACUGGUCUCCAAACUCGUUCUCCUCCUCUGUCACUCCAUCGGCUCCAGCGACGAUGGUGUGAAAGAUAAAUGAACAAAACAAGCACAAACACAAAAUAAAAUGAGCUCAAACAGAGAGGAGAAUAGCUGGAUUAGAUAGAAUAUGAUUUUAGAGGAAUUUAGGAAAAAGAAUUAGUGGAAUCGGAGUUUAGAUGGGUGAGAUAUGGCUGUGUAAAAAUUGGCUACUAAUUAAAUUUCGAAAAUGAAUAAAAUAGCUUAAUUCCAGGAGGAGCUCAUGGCCUCUGGUUCACCCGUGAUGGGUUUGAGGUGCUGGUUUGGGCUAUGGUUUUAUUUUGAGCUAGUGAGGUACGUACAAGAGCAGCAAGGGUCCACAAUAGAAAUAACAAGGGGAGACGGGAGGUGAAGGAGCUUGUGCUCCUCAAGCUCGUCCGUCAUGGGAGGUGGUCGAAGCUCACUGGAGCUUCGCCGUAGGGUGAUUCCGGCCACCGCUUUCAAAUCCAAGGGCAUAGGGAGAGGGAGGAGAAUAAAGGGAGUCGGUUCGGGGUUCUUGGCUGGGGUGAGAGGGUGGAAGGAGGUCAGCCGCAGGAGGCGAUGGAUGCGGCUCUGGAGUUCUUGGGGAGCUUGAUGUAGGCAAGGAUAGGGAUGGUCGUUGCUUGGGUAGGGUUGGGGGAGGGUGUGGAGGUGCUUAUUGAUGAACUAAUCGAGCUGUGGUGGCUUGUCGUCAGAGAUUGAUGAGGAAGACCUUCCUCUACGCAAGAACAGAGGAGGGAGAAAUUGGAGCGAGGAGGGAGAUGAGCGGUGGAGCUGGGCGGCUCAGCGAGCUUGGGAUGGCAACGAAGAGCAAUUUAGGGUGGCUUUUAUAGGCGGUGAGGGUGGAGCUGUGGCAGCGGCUCAACCGCUCGCUUUUAAUGGCGCACUGUGGUCGGGUGUCGGCUUGUGAGCAGCAGCUUGCGACGAUGGUGGCGCUAAGGCAACGGCAUGGCAGAGGUGGGAGGUGGAGCAAGGUGACGUGCGUGCCUGCGGUGGUGCCACAGCGGGCGUCGGCUUGCUAUGGCGGUGGCGUUGAGGCGAUGGCGGUGUUGACGGCGCGCGCGACGAGGUGACAGGGCUG
rnacentral:lncRNA from 1 species